ACUCCCGGGGAUGGCUGCAGUCGAGAAUAUUUAGCAGAGGGGGAGACCCCGAUGAUGCGUCGCUGCAAGGGUGAUGGAGGCAUUAGGGUGGUAAACCUGUCUGUUCAGGGAUGAACUAAGCGUGGUAGAUAUCGCAGCGUUACAGAGGUUUCAGUAGCAGAAUGCGCCAGUUAAGUAGGCGCCAGCAGAUGCGGUAAUAUGUAGGCGGCAAGCGUGGUCCGGACUCACUGGAUGUAAAGCGCGUGCAGGCGGUGGGGUAAGUCAGAGAUGAAAGGCUUCGGUUCAACCGAGCCAUAGGGCAUGAUAUACCUUCACAUGAGUUUAGAAGAGGAAAGUGGAAUGUAUGGUGUCAGCGUGGAAUGGCAAGAUAUCAUAUAGAACACCCCAGGGGAGUUCGGCUUUGUGGUUUAACAUUUCACCUCUUGCGCGGGAAUUCCGGGAGCAUCCGGGAUUAGAUACCCCGCCAGUUUCCCAUGUAACCGAUGGGUUAAAAGGGUAGGGGGUGCAGAUUCCUUGACGGGCGUAGUAAUCGCCCUAAGUACCCCAUAAAGGGAGUACGGCCUCAAGGUUAAAAUUCAAGGUAAGUGGCGGGGGGCCGCACAAGCGGGGGAGCAUGUCCAUCAACUGGACGCAAUGCGAAGAACAAAAGCAGGGCUUGACAUCGCAGUGACCUCCAUCAAAAUAUAGUUUUCCUUCAGACAUUAUGACAGGUGCUGCAUGGCUGUCGUCAGCCAGUGUGGUGAGAU
rnacentral:rRNA from 2 species